rnacentral:tRNA from 1 species
UAUUUUUAUAUGUUUUUUUGGUUAUUUAAAAUUCUUAYUUUUAAUUUARGGUAAUUCCUCCAAAAUAA